rnacentral:rRNA from 1 species
UACGUAGGGUGCGAGCGUUAAUCGGAAUUACUGGGCGUAAAGGGUGCGUAGGCGGGUCUUUAAGUCAGGGGUGAAAUCCUGGAGCUCAACCUCCAGAACUGCCUUUGAUACUGAAGAUCUUGAGUUCGGGAGAGGUGAGUGGAACUGCGAGUGUAGAGGUGAAAUUCGUAGAUAUUCGCAAGAACACCAGUGGCGAAGGCGGCUCACUGGCCCGAUACUGACGCUGAGGCACGAAAGCGUGGGGAGCAAACAGG